GACUGAAAAAAAGACAAAAACGAUUACCAAACAAAAAAAGAGAUAAUGGAAAACCGCUAAAGUUGUUGUGGUUAUUUUGCAGGUUUGAACACACAAACCUGCACCAACGUGUCAUUUUGUGUACCAUUUGUUUGUUUUCUCGUUUUUAAUUUAAUAAUCUGG
rnacentral:ribozyme from 1 species